GCAUAUUGGCAGAAACGUCGGAAUUUAAACGUUGAAAAUUCUUUCAUAUAAUGCACACGCUAUAUAUAGAAGGACUCGACGAUACUAAAAUGGAAAAUUUCAAAUUGGAUUUGAUUUACUCUACACUACAAUUCAUAAAUAUUAAAUAUAAAAGAUCAAGAAGAGACAGAAGGAUUAUAAAGCAAAAGAUUUGAUUCACUUUACACAUUAGGUUACCCUGAAUUUACUCUAUUACUACAUAAUCUGCAAUUUUUCUACCAUUUUUUUUUUUUAGUUUCUUUCCAAACGUACAAUUUGAAAUUUUACUAUUUUUGCGUCACUGUAUAUUAUUACAAAACUGCGCCUUUUUAUGCAAUUACGGAAAAUUUGAAGAUAUAAAAUGCAUAUAAUACAUAUUAUAUGUAAAGAUAUGUGAAAAUAUUCAAAAUUUGUACAUAUUAAAUAUUAAACAUGAAGAAUUGAGAAAAUGCAGGAGUGUAAAGCAAGAGAUUUUUCAAUUGAUGGAAGAUGAAGACAGAUGGAAGUACUAUAAAUUCCGGACGAAUAACGGCACUGUUUCUAGUGAAUGCAAAGGCAUUUCAACGACUGUUUUGAACAGACGAAAAUAUCACUAGCCAAGAAGAUUGUACAUUGUACUUUUACAUCGAAACUUGUACUUUAGAAGAAACUUGUACAUUUCAUAAAGCGGACUCACUGGUUCAAAGUCGCAAAACCUUUAUCAGUACUUGAAACUGUUAUGACUAUGACACAAUGCUUCUUGGAGUUCCAUUAUCGUUUGAGAGAAAUCAACAUUAUUUAUAUUUCAAAGAGCAAGUUGCGUUAAAUGUGUUACAUAAAAGUUCUGGACCUACGAUAUUUUUUACAAACAUAUUUUUAAAAAAUCAAGUAACAAAUUUCACUCUCUGACAAAAUCUAACAUCGAAGUACUUUCUAAUGAAGAACAGUACUCAAUCUAUCUUGAGGAGCUAUUUCUUUCAAAAUUUCUUAUGAUUAUAUUCGUUCUAAAAUUAGUUGAGUAUAGACUAGUCUUGCAACAGGCAAUAAGAAAUAUACACAAGUGCGAUAAGACAAAAAGAACAGAAUGGAAGAAAUUACAGAUUCAAGAAGGAUGAGAAGACACAGAUAUAGCGUACAUCAGUGGCUCCAAGAGAACGUUUCAAGGGAUACGUUCCAACGGUGGGUCAGCAUCGACAAGGCUGUGUAUAGGUCCUUAUAUGGUAGCCAGCCGUAUGGCUGUAUAUAGAGAGAGCUCGAAAGAGGCUGAAUACGCAACUGUGAAACACAUUCGUGUCCUUUACGUAUCCGCUUGUUGAAUAUUUCUUCUCUCCCUAUCGUCGGUACACGUGUAGGAGUCUUGCAUCGAGUGCACGCAUACGAAAGCACCCACUGGUCUGCGUUAUGCGUAACGGUAACAAAAGAAGAGGAGAUUGCUUUAGUUGCACGGUUAGCACGUUUGAGUAUGUCCAAUACAUACGAAUUAAUCUUCUCAAGGCUAGUUCCAUUUUUAAAAAUUGUAUAUAACUUUAUGAAAAAAACAAGCCUUUAUACAUAAUAAAGAAUCUCAUAGUAAUGCCAAAAUUAAUGUAGUCUUAUUCAAAUGCUUGAUAUCGUACGAUUUCACGGCAUGUUACAACGUUAAGUCGGUCGAUUUCACAAAAGUCAAGAAAGCAACGGUAGUUCUCAAUGAUUCUAAAAGAUGUAUCUCAUUGGAUUAUCACGAUACAACGAGGGGGGAGAGGAGGGCUAAAAACGACUUCAGUACGCCAGUGUCCGAAGAGAAAUCACGAUAAAUCCUACUUGAUCUCGCGAGGAGAAAAGAGGUCUGCAAGUUAAUAAGGAAACUAGGUUGCUCGCACCGACGCGCUAGCCGGUUUGCAGGACGCGUCGGUGUACGCUACGCUUCGACGAGCCAUGCUCAUCGCGAGAUUGAACAUAUCAUACGAGACUCACGUUUAACUGGGUAUCUUGAAAUCUCUGUACUAUAAUUACCAUGAAGAACGUUUAGUACUUUGUCAUAAACAACACUGAAGAAGAUACGAACAGCUGCAAAGGGAUCGCGCGCAUUAUUCAUAACUUCUACGUAAGUCUGGUGAACGGACCGGCGUGUGUCUGGAACCGAUCGACUGUAAACGCAUCCGGUGGAAUCGAUAAGAUCAGUUAAUCGUCCAAAGGUUUCUGGGCAGACAUUGUCGUGGGUUCGUGGUAAAGAGAGAUCUUACGGCUGACGGCUAACGAGUUCGCGCGGUCUGCCAAUUAACUUGGGUAAUCGCGUUUAAUGGAGGACCCUCAGUGGCGUAUGCAGCGGUUCGUUUCUGAGCGGACUCGUGUGGCGUUUGGCUAUUGCAUUGACCAGUUAAUGGUGCUGGUGAACUACGCACACGCUUGGCCACCUACGUAUACCGUCAUAUACCCACGUAAAAGCGUGCAGCAUGGCUAGAAAAUGCGUUUGCUUGCGAUGAUUCCGUGUUGCGCUCGCGCUCCGAGCAAACGCGAUACAAACGCCCUCUUUUUCUCUCUUUCUUCUUCUCUUCCUCUCUCUUUCGUGCAACCGUGACGGCUAACGAACCCUGGACGCGCGCGUAUCGUAUCGAGCGGUGGCGCGUACGUUCAGGGACGUAUUACGUGUUACCAAGCGGCUUGUCCUGCUCACAGACUUGAAAAUACACUUCUUUCUGUCCUUAUCGUAUAAAACGAAUUUUUCAGGUUCCAAAAGUAUCAUAAAAAUUUCUAUUGAAGAGCCCUAAUUUAAUUUUGUUAAUCUCGUUAAUCUCAUUAACCUUAUCAAUAUUAAGGUAUAGAUUUCGAUAUAUCUUUGUAAUUAAUAAAUAUUUAACUGUAUUUAUAGUUGUAAGAAAAGCAAGAAUUCACCGCGAACGAUAAAAGCCACGUCAUACAUUAAAUUAUACCGCUAUUUCAACGCAGUAACCGAUGCGGAAGGAAUCCUCUUCAGCGGUCAAGAUUUCGUGAACGAGUACCAAGAUUGCUUUCGUCAUUACGCUUCUGCAUGACAAGCUACAUCCCGAUUGUGAUACUUGACGAAUAAGGGGUGAUACAGGCUCAGAAGGCACUCUUUUCGUCAGGAACGUACAAUAAAUCUUCUACCAUUUCUACCAUUUGUUUAAUAAAUUAACGAUAUAUUACAAAAAAUUUUUUUAAAGAAAAUCAUAACAUUUUAUAUAAGUUCUAACAUCAAGCUUUUUAAUAUUUUCUUUUUAUUAAUCAUUCCAUUAUAUUCUAGAUUUAAUUGUAGAUUAUGUUCUAGGUUCUAGUCCAGUAUCGACCUUGAGUGUGCUCGAAGAAGUCUUAGGAUAUUUCUCUUCCGGAACGUGAAUGAAAUAGCGGUGUGCGCGCGCCCCUUUGGGGCUGUCGUGUAAAUAUAUACGUGUCGGUUUUAUACAUGUAGGGUUGCAUCGGGGGAGCGGUCGACUGGUGGCAGACGGUUUCAUCGAUUGGCAAUGCGGGGGUCGAAGAGUGGGGUAUCUGAACUCUUCACAGCUAUCUAUGCGUACUACAUAACGUAUCGACGACCUCGGCUUUCAUGGUCAAUGGUAAAAAGAAAUCUAGCUCCUGACGAAAGGCAGUAAAUACUUGCGAUUACAAGGACAAAAGCGUGCUUGCCAGUCGGCAACCAGAAGCGCAUUUGUGUGCUUGAUGCGCGGCGGAGUGCAUCUGUCAAAACCACGCCCUUGUCCCAUCCUAUCAUCCUAACGGACUCACAAGAGCCCAGCGAUAAGUACUUACUUACUUAAUAGUCAAUGCUUCCAAAAUUCGUAUGACUCAUUUAUCCCAAGCUUAAUUAUUAUUUCAAUUGUUUACCGGCAUAUACAAAAAUAUAUUUCUACGGAUUAUAAAGUGUGUGAAACACAAAGGGUGGUAAUAAUAAUAUUUCUUAUUUUAGAUAUUCAAAUAUCGCAAAAGUAUAAUAGCAAUUUAUACAAGACGCUACGAUGAAAUAUUUUAAACGCCUGCUAUACAAAAGAAAAAAAAAUGAAAAAAUUUAUUAUUUCGUAUCAACGAUUCAGAUUCGUAGGUGUACAGAACGCGUAUGGAGAUUUGACCACACCCCUCCAUUUUCGAUCGGCGAAUAAUGAAGACGAUCGAUAUCCUCAAAAGUAUAUUAUCCUUAUGGCGAUUUCCAAGUUCAGGCGCAGGAAGAAUGAUUCGAGUGACUAACCGAUACCGAUCGUCUUCGAUCAGUUUUCGUCUUCUUAAAAAACAUGCAAGUAUACACACACGAUACACGAUACCGCCUUUCUUCGAACGGCAACGAAGAAAGCCGGUUCGCUUUGAUACGUCAACGAAAAUAUCACCGUAUGCUUUUUUAUACACUUGAAAGCGCAUGCAAUUUAGAUGAUCGUAGAUAGAAUGCAUCGGCGGCAAAGAGCACUGACCUGUCAGUUGUCACUUAGAGAGAUAGGCAAGCGCAACACCGUCCAGCCAAACGUUCAAGGGCAGGAUGGAGGCAGUACACUGACUGACCGGCUAGUGAUUCCACGGCACGUAACACCAGCAAUUAUUUAUACGACGGAUAUUAUUCCUGGAUAAAUUGGAAUAGCAGUCGCAAGCAAAAGUACCGAAGAAAUGCACCGUUGCUAUUUCUGGCACAAUGGAAAAGGAGCAGGGCCGAAGGACGUUCUAGGGGUUGACGAGAGGUGGAAUGACUCAUCUUAUAGUUAUCCCAGCUGCGCGUCAUAUGGCAGUCCCGUUGGGUGUUUCUUGCACUUCGAAAUAGCCCGGUAUAUUCGGAAAAAUUGACUUAUUUAAAGGAAGAGCAAUACCGUCCAUUACGGUGCUUUUCAAUAAAUGUUUCGUCUCCUAGUUGGAUCAAAUAAGUAUUAAUUAUAAAAAUGUAUUGAAGGAAAGGAAGUAUUCCUAUAAACUGAAAAAUAUAUAAAUUUUAUUAUUUUUUAUGAA